rnacentral:rRNA from 1 species
AAUGAACGCUGGCGGCAGGCCUAACACAUGCAAGUCGAGCGAGCAUUUCGGUGCUAGCGGCGGACGGGUGAGUAACGCGUGGGAACGUGCCCUUUUCUGCGUAAUAGUCCUGGGAAACUGGGGGUAAUACCGCAUACGCCCUUUUGGGGAAAGAUUUAUCGGAGAAGGAUCGGCCCGCGUUGGAUUAGGUAGUUGGUGGGGUAAUGGCCCACCAAGCCGACGAUCCAUAGCUGGUUUGAGAGGAUGAUCAGCCACACUGGGACUGAGACACGGCCCAGACUCCUACGGGAGGCAGCAGUGGGGAAUCUUAGACAAUGGGGGCAACCCUGAUCUAGCCAUGCCGCGUGAGUGAUGAAGGCCUUAGGGUUGUAAAGCUCUUUCAGCUGGGAAGAUAAUGACGGUACCAGCAGAAGAAGCCCCGGCUAACUCCGUG